GACGAACGCUGGCGGCGUGCUUAACACAUGCGAGUCGAACGGAAAGGCCCUGCUUUUGUGGGGUGCUCGAGUGGCGAACGGGUGAGUAACACGUGAGUAACCUGCCCUUGACUUUGGGAUAACUCCAGGAAACUGGGGCUAAUACCGGAUAGGAGCUCCUGCUGCAUGGUGGGGGUUGGAAAGUUUCGGCGGUUGGGGAUGGACUCGCGGCUUAUCAGCUUGUUGGUGGGGUAGUGGCUUACCAAGGCUUUGACGGGUAGCCGGCCUGAGAGGGUGACCGGCCACAUUGGGACUGAGAUACGGCCCAGACUCCUACGGGAGGCAGCAGUGGGGAAUAUUGCACAAUGGGCGGAAGCCUGAUGCAGCAACGCCGCGUGCGGGAUGACGGCCUUCGGGUUGUAAACCGCUUUCGCCUGUGACGAAGCGUGAGUGACGGUAAUGGGUAAAGAAGCACCGGCUAACUACGUG
rnacentral:rRNA from 1 species